rnacentral:rRNA from 1 species
UGGGGAAUCUUGCACAAUGGGGGCAACCCUGAUGCAGCGACGCCGCGUGAGCGAUGAAGCCCUUCGGGGUGUAAAGCUCUUUCGGCAGGGAAGAUGAUGACGGUACCUGCAGAAGCAGCUGCGGCUAACUACGUGCCAGCAGCCGCGGUAAUACGUAGGCAGCAAGCGUUGUUCGGAGUUACUGGGCGUAAAGGGUGUGUAGGCGGUUCUCUAAGUCUGGUGUGAAAUCUCCCGGCUCAACUGGGAGGGUGCGCCGGAAACUGGAGAGCUAGAGUGUGGGAUGGGAGAGUGGAAUUCCUGGUGUAGCGGUGAAAUGCGUAGAUAUCAGGAGGAACACCUGUGGUGUAGACGGCUCUCUGGACCGCAACUGACGCUGAAACACGAAAGCGUGGGUAGCAAACAGGAUUAGAUACCCCUGUAGUCC